rnacentral:rRNA from 1 species
GACAGAGGGUGCAAACGUUGUUCGGAAUUACUGGGCGUAAAGCGCGCGCAGGCGGCGCGGUCAGCAUGGCGUGAAAGCCCCCGGCUCAACCGGGGAGGGUCGUCGUGGACUGCCGCGCUUGAGGGCGGUAGGGGCUGGUGGAAUUCCCGGUGUAGUGGUGAAAUGCGUAGAGAUCGGGAGGAACACCCGUGGCGAAGGCGGCCAGCUGGGCCGACCCUGACGCUGAGGCGCGAAGGCGUGGGGAGCGAACGGG